rnacentral:rRNA from 1 species
UACGUAGGGUGCAAGCGUUGUCCGGAAUUAUUGGGCGUAAAGAGCUCGUAGGCGGUUUGUCGCGUCUGCUGUGAAAACUCGGGGCUUAACUCGGGGCCUGCAGGCGAAACUGUGGUGCUGGAGUAUGGGAGAGGUGCGUGGAAUUCCCGGUGUAGCGGUGAAAUGCGCAGAGAUCGGGAGGAACACCAAUGGCGAAAGCAGGUACCUGGACUAUUACUGACACUCAGCUGCGAAAGCUAGGGGAGCAAACAGG